CCUACGGGAGGCAGCAGUGGGGAAUAUUGGACAAUGGGGGGAACCCUGAUCCAGCGACGCCGCGUGAGUGAAGAAGUAUUUCGGUAUGUAAAGCUCUAUCAGCAGGGAAGAAAGAAAUGACGGUACCUGACUAAGACGCCCCGGCUAAAUACGUGCCAGCAGCCGCGGGAAUACGUAGGGGGCAAGCGUUAUCCGGAUUUACUGGGUGUAAAGGGAGCGUAGACGGCGAUGCAAGUCUGAAGUGAAAGGCGGGGGCCCAACCCCCGGACUGCUUUGGAAACUGUAUGGCUGGAGUGCAGGAGAGGUAAGUGGAAUUCCUGGUGUAGCGGUGAAAUGCGUAGAUAUUAGGAAGAACACCAGUGGCGAAGGCGGCUUACUGGACUGUAACUGACGUUGAGGCUCGAAAGCGUGGGGAGCAAACAGGAUUAGAUACCCCGGUAGUC
rnacentral:rRNA from 1 species